UGGGAGGAUUGGUAAAAACCCUGAGAGAA
rnacentral:piRNA from 1 species